rfam:Pristionchus pacificus strain PS312 contig814, whole genome shotgun sequence.
UGUGGUGGAUUCUGAAACCACGUGGGGCUAAGCGGAUAGAGUUGACGAAACUGGCAGUGUUCAGUGCUCGUGAUCGGGUUCGCUCGUGAUCGGGUGCGCAUUCAUUGUCGGUACGUGCUGGGACGUUCGGUGAGCCCUUCUGAAGGCUUCAGAGUCACCCAAGCUUGCUUGGUAGUGUUCUGUCGUCGGAAGUUGAUGUGCUCGCUGAUCGUAGCGGUGGCCGUGCCUCUGCGCGUUCGUUCGUUAGUUGGUGUGCUGCUUGGUAGUCGGACAUGUCUGGCUGCCUCGUACGUGUGCUGAUUAGCGGGCGCUCGCCUAUGGCCCACUCCCGGUAUGCGAAAGUCGACCACCUAUCCGACCCGUCUUGAAACACGGACCAAGAAGUCUAGUAUGUACGCGAGUCAUUGGGUAUUAAACCUAUUGGCGCAAUAAAUGUGAAGGGCGGCUUGUUCGUCUGAUAUGUGAUCCGUCGGUCUCGGCCAGCGGCGCAACAUAGUCCCAUGCCUACUGCUUGCAGUGGUGUGGAGAUGGAGCGUACACACUAGGACCCGAAAGAUGGUGAACUAUGCCUGAGCAGGACGAAGUCAGAGGAAACUCUGAUGGAAGUCCGAAGCGGUUCUGACGUGCAAAUCGAUCGUCGGACUCGGGUAUAGGGGCGAAAGACUAUCGAACCAUCUAGUAGCUGGUUCUCACCGAAGUUUCCCCCAAGAUAGCUGGCACUUAUGUUUGUUGAAUCUUG